rnacentral:rRNA from 1 species
UACGGGGGGGGCAAGCGUUAAUCGGAAUUACUGGGCGUAAAGUGUGCGCAGGCGGCCGCGCAAGUCGAGUGUGAAAGCCCCGAGCUUAACUUGGGAAUGGCGCUCGAAACUACGUGGCUGGAGUGUGGCAGAGGAAGGUGGAAUUCCACGUGUAGCGGUGAAAUGCGUAGAGAUGUGGAGGAACACCGAUGGCGAAGGCAGCCUUCUGGGCCAACACUGACGCUCAUGCACGAAAGCGUGGGGAGCAAACAGG